rnacentral:rRNA from 1 species
CACACUAUCAUUAACUGAAUCCAUAGGUUAAUGAGGCGAACCGGGGGAACUGAAACAUCUAAGUACCCCGAGGAAAAGAAAUCAACCGAGAUUCCCCCAGUAGCGGCGAGCGAACGGGGAGCAGCCCAGAGCCUGAAUCAGUGUGUGUGUUAGUGGAAGCGUCUGGAAAGGCGCGCGAUACAGGGUGACAGCCCCGUACACAAAAAUGCACAUACUGUGAGCUCGAUGAGUAGGGCGGGACACGUGGUAUCCUGUCUGAAUAUGGGGGGACCAUCCUCCAAGGCUAAAUACUCCUGACUGACCGAUAGUGAACCAGUACCGUGAGGGAAAGGCGAAAAGAACCCCGGCGAGGGGAGUGAAAAAGAACCUGAAACCGUGUACGUACAAGCAGUGGGAGCACGCUUAGGCGUGUGACUGCGUACCUUUUGUAUAAUGGGUCAGCGACUUAUAUUCUGUAGCAAGGUUAACCGAAUAGGGGAGCCGAAGGGAAACCGAGUCUUAACUGGGCGUUAAGUUGCAGGGUAUAGACCCGAAACCCGGUGAUCUAGCCAUGGGCAGGUUGAAGGUUGGGUAACACUAACUGGAGGACCGAACCGACUAAUGUUGAAAAAUUAGCGGAUGACUUGUGGCUGGGGGUGAAAGGCCAAUCAAACCGGGAGAUAGCUGGUUCUCCCCGAAAGCUAUUUAGGUAGCGCCUCGUGAAUUCAUCUCCGGGGGUAGAGCACUGUUUCGGCAAGGGGGUCAUCCCGACUUACCAACCCGAUGCAAACUGCGAAUACCGGAGAAUGUUAUCACGGGAGACACACGGCGGGUGCUAACGUCCGUCGUGAAGAGGGAAACAACCCAGACCGCCAGCUAAGGUCCCAAAGUCAUGGUUAAGUGGGAAACGAUGUGGGAAGGCCCAGACAGCCAGGAUGUUGGCUUAGAAGCAGCCAUCAUUUAAAGAAAGCGUAAUAGCUCACUGGUCGAGUCGGCCUGCGCGGAAGAUGUAACGGGGCUAAACCAUGCACCGAAGCUGCGGCAGCGACGCUGAUGCGUUGUUGGGUAGGGGAGCGUUCUGUAAGCCUGUGAAGGUGUGCUGUGAGGCAUGCUGGAGGUAUCAGAAGUGCGAAUGCUGACAUAAGUAACGAUAAAGCGGGUGAAAAGCCCGCUCGCCGGAAGACCAAGGGUUCCUGUCCAACGUUAAUCGGGGCAGGGUGAGUCGACCCCUAAGGCGAGGCCGAAAGGCGUAGUCGAUGGGAAACAGGUUAAUAUUCCUGUACUUGGUGUUACUGCGAAGGGGGGACGGAGAAGGCUAUGUUGGCCGGGCGACGGUUGUCCCGGUUUAAGCGUGUAGGCUGGUUUUCCAGGCAAAUCCGGAAAACUAAGGCUGAGGCGUGAUGACGAGGCACUACGGUGCUGAAGUAACAAAUGCCCUGCUUCCAGGAAAAGCCUCUAAGCAUCAGGUAACAUCAAAUCGUACCCCAAACCGACACAGGUGGUCAGGUAGAGAAUACCAAGGCGCUUGAGAGAACUCGGGUGAAGGAACUAGGCAAAAUGGUGCCGUAACUUCGGGAGAAGGCACGCUGAUAUGUAGGUGAAGCGACUUGCUCGUGGAGCUGAAAUCAGUCGAAGAUACCAGCUGGCUGCAACUGUUUAUUAAAAACACAGCACUGUGCAAACACGAAAGUGGACGUAUACGGUGUGACGCCUGCCCGGUGCCGGAAGGUUAAUUGAUGGGGUCAGCGCAAGCGAAGCUCUUGAUCGAAGCCCCGGUAAACGGCGGCCGUAACUAUAACGGUCCUAAGGUAGCGAAAUUCCUUGUCGGGUAAGUUCCGACCUGCACGAAUGGCGUAAUGAUGGCCAGGCUGUCUCCACCCGAGACUCAGUGAAAUUGAACUCGCUGUGAAGAUGCAGUGUACCCGCGGCAAGACGGAAAGACCCCGUGAACCUUUACUAUAGCUUGACACUGAACAUUGAGCCUUGAUGUGUAGGAUAGGUGGGAGGCUUUGAAGUGUGGACGCCAGUCUGCAUGGAGCCGACCUUGAAAUACCACCCUUUAAUGUUUGAUGUUCUAACGUUGACCCGUAAUCCGGGUUGCGGACAGUGUCUGGUGGGUAGUUUGACUGGGGCGGUCUCCUCCUAAAGAGUAACGGAGGAGCACGAAGGUUGGCUAAUCCUGGUCGGACAUCAGGAGGUUAGUGCAAUGGCAUAAGCCAGCUUGACUGCGAGCGUGACGGCGCGAGCAGGUGCGAAAGCAGGUCAUAGUGAUCCGGUGGUUCUGAAUGGAAGGGCCAUCGCUCAACGGAUAAAAGGUACUCCGGGGAUAACAGGCUGAUACCGCCCAAGAGUUCAUAUCGACGGCGGUGUUUGGCACCUCGAUGUCGGCUCAUCACAUCCUGGGGCUGAAGUAGGUCCCAAGGGUAUGGCUGUUCGCCAUUUAAAGUGGUACGCGAGCUGGGUUUAGAACGUCGUGAGACAGUUCGGUCCCUAUCUGCCGUGGGCGCUGGAGAACUGAGGGGGGCUGCUCCUAGUACGAGAGGACCGGAGUGGACGCAUCACUGGUGUUCGGGUUGUCAUGCCAAUGGCACUGCCCGGUAGCUAAAUGCGGAAGAGAUAAGUGCUGAAAGCAUCUAAGCACGAAACUUGCCCCGAGAUGAGUUCUCCCUGACUCCUUGAGAGUCCUGAAGGAACGUUGAAGACGACGACGUUGAUAGGCCGGGUGUGUAAGCGCAGCGAUGCGUUGAGCUAACCGGUACUAAUGAACCGUGAGGCUUAACCUUACAACGCCGAAG